CCUACGGGAGGCAGCAGUGGGGAAUAUUGGGCAAUGGAGGAAACUCUGACCCAGCAACGCCGCGUGAAUGAUGAAGGUCUUCGGAUUGUAAAGUUCUUUGCUAAGGGAAGAAGAAAGUGACGGUACCUUAGGAAUAAGCCUCGGCUCACUACGUGCCAGCAGCCGCGGUAAUACGUAGGAGGCGAGCGUUAUCCGGAAGGACUGGGCGUAAAGGGGGCGUAGGAGGUUUGGCAAGUUAGUAGCGUAACUCCAAGGCUCAACCUUGGAACUACUACUAAAACUGUUGGACGUGAGUGCAGGAGGGGCAACCGGAAUUCCUAGUGUAGCGGUGGAAUGCGUAGAUAUUAGGAGGAACACCAGUGGCGAAGGCGGGUUGCUAGACUGUAACUGACACUGAGGCACGAAAGCGUGGGGAGCAAACAGGAUUAGAUACCCCAGUAGUC
rnacentral:rRNA from 1 species